rnacentral:rRNA from 1 species
AGUUCGGACUGGAGUCUGCAACCCGACUCCACGAAGUUGGAUUCGCUAGUAAUCGCGCAUCAGCCAUGGCGCGGUGAAUACGUUCCCGGGCCUUGUACACACCGCCCGUCAAGCCAUGGGAGCCGGGGGCGCCUGAAGUCCGGGACCGCGAGGACCGGCCUAGGGCGAAACUGGUAACUGGGGCUAAGUCGUAACAAGGUAGC